rnacentral:lncRNA from 10 species
CGAGAUUGUCAAAUUGGGCAGCAGUUGGGAAAUCAAUGGAUAUCUUCCCAGUAUAAAUCCCAAAAUGUUCCUGAAAUGGGGUUACUUCUGUCCCAAUUGAGACAGACGUUUCAAAUUCCAAAUAAGAGGUAGUAGGGUACAACAGCACAGAAGGUACUUUAAGGAAGCUUGAGUCCUCAGAUGCAGAAGAAUUUUUUUCCAAACUGGAAUCAGAAUCCAGAAAACCUAGGCUGAUAGGAAAUACCAACAAUGUUGACAUUCCCAGUUUCAAUGGGCACAGGAGAACCCUCAUUCAUUAAAUCAGGAAUAUCCAACUUGCUCAGCAUCCCAACUCCAGAAACAAAGAAUCCCUAUAAGUUUACUAAAGACAAUGACAAUUUCUCCAUGUUGGUCAGGCUGGUCUCAAACUCUCGACCUCAGGUGAUCUGCCUGCCUCGGCCUCCCAAAGUGCUGAGAUUAGAGGUAUGAGUCACCGCGAGCUGUAAGAGAGGUCUGUGCCUAAAUCACACGUUUACUACGAGGAAUUAACUGAAAGCACCUACAUGAAGACACCUGGAAACUAUAAAGAACUUCCUGGAAACUAUAAAGAACUGUAUAAUUAUAAGUUCACAAUCUACUGAAGAGCACAGUAAGCAUGACCUUUAAAAAGCUAUACGGUAAAUGUCAUGAGGGGAGAAGUACUGCACACAUGGGAGCCCAGAGCACGAGCAACUAGUCCAGACUUGGUAGAAGUGAGAGCACAGAAGGUGUCAAAGGGGAUUUCUGAGUAAGCACAUGGCAUUGUUUGAGGUCAAAAAGAACACUGGAACAUGAAAAGAACAGUAAUUAAUUCUUUUCUAUAAGUAGUAUGAAGUGGCUGCUCAUCCUAUGUCGCCACUUGAAGAAAGCGAACUACAGGCUGCUCAUUAAAAUAUCAUAAAUAUCCUUAAAAUGCUUUAAAAAUUUGCAAAAGGGGUUUUCUAUAAACAUACUGCCUAAGACUGUAAAUGAAAACGAGACAGCACCUUGAGGACAAAAUGCACUUCAGUCAAAAUGAACGUUUUUGGAUC